ACUACGGGAGGCAGCAGUAGGGAAUUUUCGUCAAUGGGCGCAAGCCUGAACGAGCAAUGCCGCGUGAACGAGGAAGGUCUUCGGAUCGUAAAGUUCUGUUGAAGGGGAAAAAGAGCGGAGAGAGGAAAUGAUCUCUGAUUGAUAUUACCCUUCGAGGAAGUCACGGCUAACUACGUGCCAGCAGCCGCGGUAAUACGUAGGUUGCGAGCGUUAUCCGGAAGGGUUGGGCGUAAAGGGUGCGUAGGCGGCCUGCUAAGUCUGGAGUGAAAGGUACCGGCUCAACCGGUACAGGCUCUGGAAACUGGCGGGCUAGAGAGCAGGAGAGGGCGGUGGAACUCCAUGUGUAGCGGUAAAAUGCGUAGAUAUAUGGAAGAACACCAGUGGCGAAGGCGGCCGCCUGGCCUGUUGACUGACGCUGAGGCACGAAAGCGUGGGGAGCAAAUAGGAUUAGAUACCCUAGUAGUC
rnacentral:rRNA from 1 species